GGCAAGCGUUGUCCGGGAAUUAUUGGGCGUAAAGCGCGCGCAGGCGGCUUCUUAAGUCCAUCUUAAAAGUGCGGGGCUUAACCCCGUGAUGGGAUGGAAACUGAGAGGCUGGAGGUAUCGGAGAGGAAAGUGGAAUUCCUAGUGUAGCGGUGAAAUGCGUAGAGAUUAGGAAGAACACCGGUGGCGAAGGCGACUUUCUGGACGACAACUGACGCUGAGGCGCGAAAGCGUGGGGAGCAA
rnacentral:rRNA from 1 species